GACGUAGGGCGCGAGCGUUGUCCGGAUUUAUUGGGCGUAAAGGGCUCGUAGGCGGUUUGUCGCGUCGGGAGUGAAAACUCAGGGCUCAACCCUGAGCGUGCUUCCGAUACGGGCAGACUAGAGGUAUGCAGGGGAGAACGGAAUUCCUGGUGUAGCGGUGGAAUGCGCAGAUAUCAGGAGGAACACCGGUGGCGAAGGCGGUUCUCUGGGCAUUACCUGACGCUGAGGAGCGAAAGCAUGGGGAGCGAACAGG
rnacentral:rRNA from 1 species